AAAGAAUGCUGUGGCUGGGAGAUCUUAUCAAGCCUUCCUGUGACACAGUAACAGAGCUCCAGUGUGUCUUAUAAGAAUUGCUCAUUGUUUCACAGGACGACUGGCUCCUUGGGGUGGGAUCUGAUGGCAUGUCAGGGAGUGGAGGCCGUGUCUGCUCUACAGCGAUGCGCUUCGAAGAACCACAUGGAGCUGAAAAGAACACAGAGACCAUCCACCUUGAAAGCUGGCUGCUGUUCUCAUGCUGAGUUCUGAAAACCUUCUGACACUUUCCCAGCAAUUCUGCCAAUCUGCGAAGCUCUGAAACUGGGUGUUGCCUAUUGGCAGAAGCCAAUGAGAAUAUUGAGGUGAUCGUGCAAAUAUCACUCAGCAUUGAGUCUGGAAGAAAGCAGCAGUUCUCCAAGGAUGGUCUACAGACGCCUAGAAGUGGCCAAGCUCCUACUAGAAGGUCUAUGACAUCAAAAGUAUUUUCAUUCACUAGGAUCUGCUUUUCUCACUGUUGGACAUUUGCACUGAUGCUGGUACAAGGGCAGUGGUGGGUACCUUUGCCCCAUGCAGAAUGGCGGCAACAAACUAUACAAGCAGUCAUUGCUGCAUCCAUACACUGAACUCCUCUCAUAAUUAAAACAGAAAAAAAAGAAAAGUCUUACUUAAGGAAGUCCUGGGUGAUGCAAUAAACAUUAUUCAUUUUAUUUAAUCUCAACCUUUGAGACCAUGUUCUGUCUGAUACCAUAGGAGUAUGGGAAUGCACUAAUGCUGCCCACCUCAGUGCGAGUUGUCUCAAGGAAAGGCACCUGGAAGAUGUCUUGCAGGCUGAACUAGCCAGUUUUUAAAUGGAACACUAUUUGUACUUGAAAGAACAACUGACAGACAAACUGUGGUUCUUCAGACUUCGGCAUCUGGCAGACAUUUUCUUGAAAAUGAACAAAGUAUGUCUGUCAUUUCAAAAAAAGACUUGGCAGUAAUUGUUGUGAAUGAUAAAAUUUGAACUUUCAAGUGAAAAUUAGAAUUUUGCAAAAUUUGUAGCUGCCAUUUUGAGCUUGACAGCUUUCCAAAACUCACAUAUUUUUUAUUCUGAUGAGAUUGGUGAUGAUGUUAACAGAUGUCAUUUUCUUGGUACUGAAUAAAGACAUACAUAAUCAUUUAUAAGAUCUGUGUAUUUCUUGAACCAAAUUUUC
rnacentral:lncRNA from 1 species